rnacentral:lncRNA from 1 species
UCUUUCCUCUCUUACUGUUUUUGUUUUGCACAUCGUGUAAUGUAAUGUAGUGUUUUUAUCAUUUAGAACUGCCUAUUUACACUUUUAUUGUAUCAUUUUAUAGUUGUUAGCCGCCUAGAGUGGUCCUCACCGACCAGAUAGGCAGGGUAUAAAUUAAAUAAAUAAAUAAAUUCACAGAAUACUGUACUGGAGAAUAUUGUACUGUUCCAUCAAGCCCUGUUUGGGGAAACCUGGAGAACCAAACUGGCAACUAAGGGUUAAAAACAUCGAUUUCGGAUUCCUAGACGGGAAGGCGACCUUUGAAGGGGGAGACCUUUCCCUCUCCAUAGGAAAGGCUCCCUCUGCAAAGACGUCCCUUCCUGUCACUCCUUUUUCUUCCUCCGGAGGAAAGCGUGGCUUAAAGUGCUUAGAAGCCGGACUGGGAUCUGGGGAGCCUCCGCCUCUCCCCCCCCCCAUUGCAACUUAGGAGGGAUGGUUUUCUAGAUGCCUCCAGGAAGAUCCUGAGGCGUUUUCCCCCAGCCAACUGCGAUCUGGUGACUUCUUCCUGGAGGAAGGGGUUUCAAGCCAGGGGGACCAGUAACAGUAAAUGGUCCAGUGGCCUUUGAGGAGGUGGCUGUCUAUUUCUCCCAAGAGGAGUGGGCACGGCUGGAUGCUGACCAGAGGGCUCUGCACCAGGAAGUCAUGGAGGAGAACUGGAAAACUGUAUAUUCUCUUGGUAAGGCCCCCUCUCUCCCCAGCUAAUCUCUCUUUACCAGCACAAUAAUUUCUAGCAACAAUGAGAGCAAAAAUUCUGCUCUGGUGCUGAAAUGGUGUCUGAGCUCACACUAACUAUUGUAGUAUCCUUAAGGCUGGAUUGGGCAACCUCUGGACCUCCAGAUACGUUAAAUUCCUAGCACAGAAGCCUUCAUUUGCAAAAGUGGAAUCAGGAUGAAAAUAAUCACUGAUCUAACAAUGCUGUGACAAUUUAGAAAGCUGAUGACAUGAUGAUUUCCUAAGGACAGGGUCUUUUCAGGAUAUGGUUUACUUUACUAUUGCUUCACAAUAACAAUUUUUAUCUGCAUAUUUUAAAAAGAGCUUUGGUCAUCUUCUGCUUUAAUAUGAGAACUGAUUUAAUUAUAUUUUCAUAUGUGUAAUGUUUUGCUUUAAAAUUUCUACUUGAUAAGCACUGGUUGAUUAAUUGAUUGAUUGAUCGAUUGAUUGAUUGAUUGGAUUUUUACCCCACCCCUUUAGACCAUGUCUACUCGGGGCGGCUUACAUAGAUAAAAGAGAACAAUAUAUAAAAUAUAUAAAAUUAUAAAAUUAGUGUUACUGCUUUAUCACAGGGGUGUGAGGUGUCUCUGGUUAAAACAGAGACACCUCACCCCCUGUAAUAAAGCAGUAACAGAGAGAGAGAGAGAGAGAGAA